UUUAUUAUUCAACAGUAAAAAAAUGAAUUUGGUCAGGUCUUGAUUGAAGCAGCCAUAAGUUGUUUUAUUGUGUGGAUAAUAAGGUU
rnacentral:SRP_RNA from 1 species